rnacentral:rRNA from 1 species
GUCUUUUUGUUAAAAAUUUAAAGUCGGGCCUGCCCCCUGAAAUUUUAAAUGGCCGUGGUAUUUUGACCGUGCUAAGGUAGCAUAAUCAUUAGUUUUUUAAUUGAAAGCUGGAAUGAAGGGUUUGAUAAAAAAAUAACUGUCUCUAUUUAAUUUUAUUAAAAUUUUAUUUUUAAGUUCAAAAGCUUAAAUUAAAUUAAAAGACGAGAAGACCCUAUAGAGUUUAAUAAUAUAAAAUAAUUUUUAUUUUUGAAUUAAAUUAUUUAUUUUUUUUAUAUUAUUUAGUUGGGGUGAUUGAAAAAUUUAAUUAACUUUUUUUAUAUUUUACCAUUAAUUUAUGAUUGUUUGAUCCAAUUUUUUUGAUUAUAAGAUAAAAUUACCUUAGGGAUAACAGCGUAAUUUUUUUAAAAAGUUCAAAUUUAAAAAAAAGAUUGCGACCUCGAUGUUGGAUUAAAAUUAAAUUUUGGUGUAGAAGCUAAAAAUUUAAGUCUGUUCGACUUUUAAAAUUUUACA